GCCUAAAGCGUCCGUAGCCGGCUUUGUAAGUUUUCGGUUAAAUCUAUAUGCUCAACAUAUAGGCUGCCGGGAAUACUGCAAAGCUAGGGAGUGGGAGAGGUAGACGGUACUCCGUAGGAAGGGGUAAAAUCCUUUGAUCUAUGGAUGACCACCUGUGGCGAAGGCGGUCUACCAGAACACGUUCGACGGUGAGGGAUGAAAGCUGGGGGAGCAAACCGGAUUAGAUACCCGGGUAGUCCCAGCUGUAAACUAUGCAAACUCAGUGAUGCAUUGGCUUGUGGCCAGUGCAGUGCCGCAGGGAAGCCGUUAAGUUUGCCGCCUGGGAAGUACGUACGCAAGUAUGAAACUUAAAGGAAUUGGCGGGGGAGCACCACAAGGGGUGAAGCCUGCGGUUCAAUUGGAGUCAACGCCAGAAAUCUUACCUGGGGAGACAGCAGAAUGAAGGUCAAGCUGAAGACUUUACCAGACAAGCUGAGAGGUGGUGCAUGGCCGUCGUCAGCUCGUGCCGUGAGAUGUCCUGUUAAGUCAGGUAACGAGCGAGAUCCCUGCCGCUAGUUGCUACCAUUACUCUCCGGAGUAGUGGGGCGAAUUAGCGGGACCGCCGCAGUUAAUGUGGAGGAAGGAAGGGGCCACGGCAGGUCAGUAUGCCCCGAA
rnacentral:rRNA from 1 species